AAGAACCGCCUUCUCGGGGACAGGUUAUGAAUAUGUAUAGCGUUCCUAGAACUGUCAUGAAUAUGUAACACUUUACUGCAUUUAACCAAGUUCACAGCUACUGAAAAUUUAGACACGUAUUAGGUGAAAUGAUUUCCCCCGUGUGUCCAGCACUGUAAAUAAACAUACCUCUUUACAAUCUCACGGGUUGUAAAGUCAUUUCCGCGCCUCACUUUGGCGAGCCAGCCAGGAAGGCGUUUUGCUCGGCUGCAUGAACAACUGAGAACGGACGAAUUUGGCACACCCGGAAGCUUCUUUUUCAGAAGACCUCUGCCCCCAGCUGGUCAUUGCAGGAGCAGACAAAAGACCUCCGGCACUGACAGCGGGUAAGCAACUGUUCCCACAGAAGGCAAGAUUAAUGAAGAAGUCGUGAACCAAGUGUACCCCGGGGUAUGGGCUACUGAUGUACCUGAAGGGCCAAAAAUGCUCCACCUGUCGAGAUUUAAAAGAUGCCUUUUUGCAUCCCUCUCCGUGAAGCCAGCCAGACAAUAUUUGCAUUUGAAUGGGAAAACCCUAAAAGUGGACGUAAAACCCAGCUCAUGUGGAUGGUGUUGCCACAAGGAUUUAAGAACAGUCCGACAAUAUUUGGAAAUCAGCUUGCUAAAGAUCUUGAAUCUUGGGAAGCCCCCUUUGAUGAAGGACAGAUGCUACAAUAUGUGGAUGACAUUUUGAUCGCUACCAGAACAAAGGAGACGUGCAUAACCUGAACUGUAAGUUUAUUGAACUUUUUGGGGCUCCAAGGAUUUCAGGUAUCACAGAAGACAGCAACAAGUAACUUAUUUGGGCUAUGAAAUCAGUGCAGGGCAGAGGACCCUGGGACAGGCUCGAAAGGAGGCUAUAUGCCAAACUCCGAAGCCUCAAACUGUAAAAGCAUUACAAACCUUUUUGGGCAUGACAGGGU